UACGGAGGUGGCAAGCGUUGUUCGGAAUUACUGGGCGUAAAGGGCGCGUAGGCGGCAAGGCAAGUCAGGUGUGAAAGCCCCGAGCUUAACUCGGGAAUUGCAUCUGAAACUGCUGUGCUUGAGUUCUGGAGGGGGUAGUGGAAUUCCCAGUGUAGCGGUGAAAUGCGUAGAUAUCAGGAGGAACACCGGUGGCGAAGGCGGGUCUCUGGGCCGAUACUGACGCUGAGGAGCGAAAGCGUGGGGAGCGAACAGG
rnacentral:rRNA from 1 species